rfam:Oreochromis niloticus linkage group LG17, whole genome shotgun sequence.
GACCUUUAGAGCGGGGGCUGUAUCAUAACCAGGCUGUGAGCUGCAUGGAGCAUGGGUAUGAUACGACCUCAGUUUGGAGGUG